UCUUAGUUGGACGUUAAUCACUAUAUUUUCAUUCAUUUAUUUGGGAUGUGGUGGCAAUGUUGAUGCCAUUGCUAUCAAUCCCAGGAUUUUUCGUUUAUAACACUUAGAUUUAUUUUAAUCUAUUAGUUUAUAAAGUUUCUAUGUAAAGAAGUGUUUGUGGUUUCAGACAGCCAGUGGGGGAACCGUCUUUACCAAAUAAAAGAAUCCAGUUUUGUAUUUUCAACGUCUUAAUCCUUUUCCUUUGUUAACUCUUCGUUUUGAUUUUGUACCGAACUAGAUAUUGCAUCUUUAUCAUGGGUAGAUUUUUAAAUACAAUAUUAGUGACACAAUACCAUCUACAAAUGAAUGGUUUCUUAUAGCAUGUAUAUUCAUAUAGUGCCACUUCAUUGGUUCUUAGGUACUAGAACAGGAAGGAUUAAUAAGGAUUCAAUUCGUCCUAGAAUUGGAUUUUGUUUUCCACUUCAUUGCAUUUGAAUAUUAAGCUUUGUCCAUAAUUCGCUAAAAAACAUUGUCUAUUAUGUUUAUGUACGGAUGGUUGAAUUAAAGGUUUUAUUCGAAGAUCUCCUACAAUCUCAACAAUUGCGGUUGGAGGAAACUACCGAAUAAAAUGGUAAUUAAUGUGACAUGGUGAUCAUAUUCGAUUUGUGUUUGUUAUGAGACAGUGGAGAUUUCUAUAUGUUUAUAUCCGCAACACCAGCUCACGAACAAUCCUCGACCCUUCAUCCUCGCAGCUCGACUUAGUUUUGAACGAAAAAGCUCCUCCAGGAAUCAAUUUUCUCCCCCUCUUCCUUGCUGCUCAACAUAGGAAGGUUAGUUUGUGACUGAGAAACUUGAAUAAAACUGUAAUUUUGUAUUACUAAAGCAUCUGCAUUGUUUUUUCGGUCAAGCAUGUUGGUUAUUUGUUCUCAGAAAUGCAACUUUUACUAAGUAUUCUAUGUUGCUGCACGGGGAUCAUAUAUGCUACCAACCUAAACUAAACUAAUAUAAACUGAGAUAAUGCAUUUUCUGACUUUGGUAAAUUGUCACAUCAUCCUAGGACAUAGUUUUUGGUGCCAAAAAACGUGGGUUGCAGAGCUACAACGAGGGAGAUGGGCAUGGAUUGGCGGGGAGGGGAAGGGUGAGGGAGGAGUGAGGCUUGCGAAAAGGGUGGUUGGAUUGAUUUUUCCUCCUCAAAUCAAGGGUUGGUGUCGGGAUUGAGGGGUGGGUCGAAAGUGGGUAUGGUUGUGAGGGAGAGAGGGAUGGCAGAGACAGAGGUCAUGGAGUUGGGCAUGGGAAUUCCACAAACCAAGGGCUGCUGUCAGUGGGUGUUAAUAUCAGCAAUAAGCAUUACUGGGAUUUCACCCAAGAAAAAAGAAUGUGGAUGUUGUCUCUGGAAUCCUAUCAUCAUCUUCCUCGCAUGCAACGCUCUGGCCCUUUCAGUUGAAACCAAAACGUGUUCCAGCUAUGAGGAAGAGCAAGAAAAAGGAAGAACCAAUAUUAGAAGAUCUUCCCAAAGAGUACUACGAUGAUUCUAAGCCAUGAAGGAUUUGAUCAACCCACAAUUGAUAACAAUGUGCGGUGGCACCAACGGUUUUGAACAAGGAACAAGCAAGUACCGUUUUGCUUCAUUGUUCCAAAGUAUUAUGUAGAGAUUGCUUUAAUAUCUUGGCUUCUUGGCUGUAUGUGGGGUGUCCGAGAUAGGAUUUAGGAGAUUUGGUUUAGGGUUUGCAGAGAGAGAGAUAGGGGGUGUUCGAGAGAAAUGUGGGAGGAUUUAGGCGAGGGAUUUCAGGGAUUUGUUUAGGGUUUCUUUUCUGCGAUUUGCAGACAGAGAGAUGGGACAAGGGUGAGAGAGAGAGAUGGGAGGAUUUUCAGCGAGG